UAUUUUAUCUAUUAGUAUCUUAAUAUUUUUAAUGAUUGACGGUGCUACCUGCUUUAUAAAAAAUUUAUUUGUGACAGCUUCAUAGGCUCUAUAAUUGCUUUAUAAAAGAAGAAAAAAGAGGGAGCUAAAUUAACUUGCACGCAAAUGUGUGUAAGUAUUUUCAUUACUGCAAUGACCGUACAUCUUCUCAGUCUUUUGUUUUUUUUUUAUUAAAAAUAAAAAACUCGUCUCAAAAUGGACUUUGACAGAAUUUUAGUAGAUUUUGGUGAAUAUGGAACGUACCAAAAACAGUUAAUUUGGCUAAUCGUUCUACCAUGUGUUUUACCAUGCGGAUUUCAUGCUUAUAAUCAACUAUUUAUGGCUUCCAUUCCAGAACAUUGGUGCAAAGAUGAAAAUUUCAGUUACAAUAAUUAUACAUCUAAAAAUAAUAAUCAGUGUUUGAACUCAAUGAAUAAUACUUGUGAGGUUUGGGAUUUUGAUUAUAGUCGAUAUUCAUCUACGAUUGUAACAGAAUGGAAUUUAGUAUGUUCAAAACAAUUUUAUCCAACUUUUGCUUUAGUAGUAUUUGGCCUAAGUGGUUUGUUUGGUAUGUUACUAUUCGGAUUUAUUCAAGACGGGCUCGGUAGACGACCAGCGUUUUUCAUAUAUUUACUGAUCGAGUGUAUAUUCGGUGUGGCCACAGCAUUCGCUCAGAAUUUUUGGAUGUGGUUGUUUUUCAGGAUUGGAGUCGGAUUUACUGUACCAGCGAUCUUAGCAACGCCUAACGUACUGCCCAUUGAGUUUGUCGGCCCCGCUCAUCGAACCACGUGCAUUCUGCUCACCAACAUUGCUCAUUCCGUCGGCAUGGUCAUAUUGUCAUUGGUCUUGUAUGCUUUUCGUGACUGGCGUCAGCUCGCUUUAGCUACAUCCUUGCCGUUCACGGUUUACUUUCUUUACUGGUGGAGGUUCCCUGAGUCGCCGAGAUGGCUGUUGGCGUGCGGACGGUUUGAAAAAGCCAAAAAAAUUUUGCUAAAAAUGGCAAAAGUGAACGGAAAGAAUAUUUCACCUGAUUAUAUGGAUCAAUUAAAAAUUAAGUACGAAGAGGAAUUUAAUAAUCAGAAGAGUAAAACGGACGAGCAAUACAACGUGUUUCAUUUGUUUAAGACGCCAAACUUACGUUUUAAAACAAUUGCAAUCACAUUUAUAUGGUUUGUCAACACAACCGUAUACGUUGGACUUUCAUAUUAUGCACCGGCCCUGAGUUCUGAUGAGCAUUUGAAUUUUUUCCUGGCCGGAGCCGUCGAGUUGCCAACGUACAUAAUACUGUGGCCUGCGAUGGAGAGAUUCGGUAGAAAAAGUAUAUUGAACAUUAGCAUGUUGAUCGGAGGUUGUGCUUGCCUGGCUGCCACUUGUUCCACACUAGACGAAAAGUGGACGUUGAUAAUGUUUUGUGUCGGCAAGAUGGGAAUAUCGUCUUCCUACGUUAUACUCUCUCUGUUUGCUCCAGAAUUGUAUCCGACUGUGGUCAGAGGUCUGGGAAUGAGCGUCAGUUCAGUAGCUGGUAUGAUCGGACCCGUUGGACUUCCAAUCAUCAACUACGUGGGUACGGGUUCUCAGCUGUCACUUAUUGUCAUGGGCGUACUACAAAUCGUUGGCGGUUUCGUUACGCUCCUUCUACCGGAAACGAAAAACUGUCAUUUGCCGCAGACACUAGAUGACGGAGAAAAGUACGCAAGCAACAAGUGAAGCUUAUAAUAACAAAAUAGAAUAUAGCGCCUGUUCACGUGUACUGUCUAUUAUAUUACACACACUUUUCUAUACCAAUUAUUAUGAUAGUGCGGAUCGUAAAGAAAACAAAUAUAUUUGAUCCAUGCAGCAC